AAAAGGCAAAAAGUUCGGUGCCUCAUGCUGGAAUCGAACCAGCGACCUUCUGUUUACUAGACAGACGCUCUGCCACUGAGCCAAUGAGGCGG
rnacentral:tRNA from 1 species